CCCAACUCAACAUGAUUUAUUCCACCCCAGGAAUGCAGCUCGAUUCCCAGAAUUUGGUCGACAACUUUAGUCAAAAGGCUUGAUCUUGCAAGGGCUCCAUUUAUAGGCUCCGCUGCACUGGCAGCCAGGGGGAGCCCCAGCUCAGCUCAGACCUGCAGGAGGGAAUCCCACAAAGUCAGGGCUGUGACAAGCACCCACAGCCAUCUCAGCCUGGAAGCUCCAAUUUUUUUCUAAAUUUCACCCAGGACAAAAUUUGCAUAUAUACAUACAUAUAUUUAAUUUUAAAACUUUUUAUCACAAAUACAGGCAAACAUAUUGAACAAAAGCUUCACAAAAUGAUGCAUACAUGGUGAAAGAUCUGAUACUUUCUACUUGAGUCUAUUUUAUUUCGUUUCUAAAAAUACUGAUUGCCACCCACUAAAGUAAUUUCACGACCCGCCAUUGAGUCUUAGCUGACAGUGUGGAAAACACCGGCUUGACUCAAACUUCACUGGGCAGGAGAGACUUAACUAGACCAUCCACUGGCCCACGGUCACUUCACGAGCUAGCCCAAGAAGAACUCAAGUCCAAAGCCAAAGAGGAAUCUCUGUGGGGGUCCAGCCUCCGAGAGCUGAGAAGGUCUCAGGAAGAGGUCUGAGGAGGCAGAGCUACAACCAGGAUAACCCAGUGGUAAGAGUUCAUGUGGCAAAGGGAGGGAGGGAGUUCAUUCCCCUGGGCUGCUGUGGAGCCCCUCAACACCCUGGAUGCCAGCAAGAAGAAACUAAAGUGGCAGGGUUUAUCUCCUCUCCCUGCCUUUCCAUCCCCUGGUUCUAUUCUUCACUGAGCCAGCGCAGUGCCAGCCCUGGGCACAGGAAGACAUAAAGAACAGUACCAUGCUUUCCAGAGCUGAGUGGGCAAGCUGCAGCUCAGAGCUGAGUGGGCAAGCUGCAGCCCAGAGCCUCCUGCCUCCCUGGAGAAGAUGAACCAUGGAGUGAAGAAAGCCAUUUCACACUUUCAAGAAAAAUUAACUUACAGUUCCUAGAGUGAGCUGCACAGCACCCUUGUCUGAAACCUGGCCAAUCCCAGCUGUCCUGGAGCAGGGAGCCUGGCUGGCAGGGAUGACCUCAUGAUGUCCUUCACCAGAAACCUGGCUGCUGUGUAUUUUACCACCCACCAAGCACUGCUCCUGGGUCCAAGCCGCAGUCUGGUUCCAAAGUGGCAAGGGCUAUACAAGACAGAAGGAAGAAGCAGUAGCCCCUUCCCUAGGAAGACACAAAUUCAGCCACAUCAUCCUGGCCUGGCCCAAUUCCUAUACCCACUCACCCCGCCAAGACAUUCAAUAAAGAGCUAUAUACAUACAGAAUACAGAGAUCUGUGCACAGAGACCUGUGUACUCACAGAUGCCUGUACACACACACCCCGAGGAUGCUGGGAUCAGAGCAGAAAUGUGAGCCAUUCCUGGGCCAAGCCAAUCUGUAUAUAAGCGCUGCAUUCUCUAUUUAGCAAGAAUCUAGGUGAAUUAUUUAAUCAUUUCUUUAUUGCUAAAAUAGGAUUUAGGAAAGCCUCCUCAAAGGACGGUAGGAGCAUGUGUGCACAAUUAAAUAAGAGCCAUAACACUUCGUUCUGAGUGCUUUUGGAGUAAUCACCCAUAGUAUCCCUAUGAGGUAGGUUUUUCUGGUAUGCUGCUUUGCAGAUGGGGAACCUGAAGCCCAGAAUGUGUACACAACUGCUGGUGGUGUCUACACCACUCGGUGCUCUUGGGGGGGGUCUCUGCCUAACCACGUGACUCCUUGCUUCAGAGGAUACAAUGAGGCAGCAAAUGCAC
ensembl:lncRNA